UACGUAGGCAGCAAGCGUUGUUCGGAUUUACUGGGCGUAAAGGGUGUGUAGGCGGUUCCUUAAGUUUGCUGUGAAAUCUCCCGGCUUAACCGGGAGGGUGCGGUGAAUACUGAGGGACUAGAGUACGGGAGAGGAAAGUGGAAUUCCUGGUGUAGCGGUGAAAUGCGUAGAUAUCAGGAGGAACACCGGUGGUGUAGACGGCUUUCUGGACCGUAACUGACGCUGAGACACGAAAGCUAGGGGAGCAAACAGG
rnacentral:rRNA from 1 species